UGUUAGAUUGCUCAAUCUGUCUGCUCCACAGAAAGCCACCUCUCUAACCACUACUUGCUGCUUUCUCUUCGGGUUAGCCUACACCCAAAGCCACUGUCAGAUGUCACAGGGAUGAGACUUCAGAAGAAACCCCAGUAAAUGCUGAGGCCCCAGCGCUGUCCUCCUUCCUGCCUUCUGCCUCCGGCUGCCCUGGCGCGUCUCCCUGUGGCUCUACAUGACGUGCCCUGACACACCUCCUGUCUCUACCACCCCUCUUUGCUCCCUAAUCUGCGGGAGGGACAGCGUCAUGGGAAUCAUCCCCCCAAGUCCUCUGAGUAAAGUUGCAUCAUCUCACCUUCUUCAAUGGUUAUCAACUGAAUUGAACACCCUA